rnacentral:lncRNA from 1 species
GAUGCUCUGGGCUGCUGAUGCCCUGAGCCGAAAGGUCCUUUCAUCUUCUAGGUUUUACAAAUGUCACCUCACACAGGUGGCAUGAAUUCACCAAGGAUGGCCAUGAACUCCUGAUCCUCCUGCUUCCUCCUCUCAACUGUUGGUAUUACAGUGCUCUCCUCUAAAGGGACUACACACAGGCAUGAUUUAAAGAUGACCCAGCCUCCAUUUCAGAGUUACCAUUUGGGUGCACAUUUCAGCCAAGAGUACUUGGGAGACAAUGGUGAUGCAUAAAGAAGCUGAAGUCUCAGGAUGUUCUACAAACCCGAGAGAGGCCCUCAGCCUCCCAGCCCACCAGUGGUGUCUGUCUACUGGAAAUAACAUAGUUUUAUGGACAAAGCAGGAUGUGCCAGGGAAAAAAACAAAUAAGCACGCACCAACCCACUAUGAAAGGAAAUAGUCCUAGUCAAACAGUAACGUAAUACCUGGUUAUUCUUUUCAAACCGUCCUGUCAUUUAUUUGAAGAUUAUUUUCCACUGAAACCUUUGCAGCAGGUACUUAGAGCAAAGUCUCAAGAGACUCUCAUGCUCAUUUUGGAGCUGUCUGAUAUUCAUGGCUCCGAGCUGGGCAAAUAUUAGCUGGAAGAUGUAGACGGUGAUAAGGCCAACGGCCUACACUUCUCCAGACCCUGAAAGGGUUUCUGUUGACACAACCUGAUUUGUCUCGGCAGCAGCUGCACUGCAUAGAUUUUACACGGAACCCCUGUCAUAGUGGGUGCAUGUGUGGGGAGCCAGGCACCUCCCUGGAUGUUUUAUCAUAGGAGUGACAGUCAGCACAGUUCUAUACUCAUGGGCUUUAGGAAGAUGAGAACUCCCAAUCAACCCUCAGUUAUGAAGUUAUUUAUUGUUGUAGCUUUCUGUUUCACUGCUGUCCUUUGGUAACUGAGAAUAAGUGAAUAAAUAAAUGAGUGAAUCCGUUCA